rnacentral:lncRNA from 1 species
AUAGCUCGUUUUGAUCGGUUCAACUAUUCUAGAACCAAUGGCGCUGACGGAUUACAGGUUUGGCGCACGGAUUUCGAGAAAUCUAAAAAUACGUAUAUUAUAUGUAUUUGUGCGUCGUUUCGCCUUUCAGAGAGAGAACUGGUUUUAUCGCGAAUCCGUGACAAAACGAGGUGAAACAAAAUUGUGGAUUUGAUGUCUCUGUCGUGCUGAUCGCACUGGUGUGAUCCGUUCGCAAAUCUGACAGACGGAUCUGCUGAUAUCGUGCGUUGAUUGAGGAGGGGUCUUAAAUGGCAGAAUAGUAUUUUUACGAAAACCUCGACAUUUUAUGUACCGUUUUGCGUAAAAUUGAUUGUGGAGGUGUAUUCGCGCAUUUUACUCACGCUGUGAGGGACUCAAUAUUAAAUAUUGAGUUU